UAAGGAAUAUUGGGCAAUGGACGCAAGUCUGACCCAGCCAUGCCGCGUGCAGGAAGACGGCCUUAUGGGUUGUAAACUGCUUUUGUCAGGGAAUAAACCCUUGGAUUAAUCCAGGGCUGAAUGUACCUGAAGAAUAAGCAUCGGCUAACUCCGUGCCAGCAGCCGCGGUAAUACGGAGGAUGCGAGCGUUAUCCGGAUUCAUUGGGUUUAAAGGGUGCGCAGGCGGGCAAUUAAGUCAGGGGUGAAAUACUACGGCUCAACCGUGGAACUGCCUUUGAUACUGAUUGUCUUGAAUUUAGUUGAAGUGGGCGGAAUGUAGCAUGUAGCGGUGAAAUGCAUAGAUAUGCUACAGAACACCGAUAGCGAAGGCAGCUCACUAAGUUAAUAUUGACGCUCAUGC
rnacentral:rRNA from 1 species